GUUCGGUUCGGUUCGAAACCGAACUGACCGUUUGCACACCCCUAUUCAUAGGCAGGUCAACUUAACAAAUCCGAAAGACGUACAAAACUACAUGAUGAAGGACAAAAAUUAAACAUACAAUAAGAAGAUAACACAUGGAGAUUAACAAGUCAAACCCUUCUAGAUUAGCAUAGCAAUCAAACCUAGAUCUUAUCACCUCAUAGAUCUUGAUGGAGCACCUUAAAUGUACUAAUUAUGAAAGCUCUAUAAGAGACGAUGUAUAUUCUAAUGGUUAAUGACAGCACAUUAACAAAUCAAUACUUUUGCGAAGCUCAAAAAGAGCACAUUCCAUCUCUUUGGUUCCCCUAGCUCAGUAAUCUAGUCAACUCCUUAGCCUUUCAACUCAGCCAACAGAGUAAUUCAUG
rnacentral:misc_RNA from 1 species